rnacentral:lncRNA from 1 species
ACAAGAUACAUUCUAUUUUCAAUUUUCCAAUUGAAAUGAAAUUAUAAUACCUUAAAAAAUACCUCCUUUUCUCCAAAAAGAUCAGGGAAUAUCCAAGCAAACCUAAUGUAUGUUUCCUAUGAAAAAUAAAUAAGAUACAUGUUUGUGACUACAGCCCAUCAGGAUUUGCAUGGGAAAGUUCAACAUACAAAAUAACAUGAGUAAAUUUUACAUGCACUUGACAUUAAUAAAUGCUCACACGAAGCUUUUGUUAGAAAAAUAUAUCAAUUUGUUUUUUUAUGACUAAAUACCAAUUAUCAAUAGAACAUGUAUAGAUCUUUUUCUUUUUAAAAAUAGUACCAAUUAAAUCAUAUGAAUAAAGAAAAAAAUUUAUAAUAUAAUAACUAUUAUAAUUUAAAACUAAUUUGAGAAAUAAAAUGACCUUUCGAAUCAAAUGUGAGGGAGCCAUGCCACGAUUCUUGAAAAAGAUCACCACCAGGGGCGGAUCCCUUUAGGGGCCAGGAGGGGCCAUGGCCCCCCUGUUUUUUUUGCCUUCUAAUAUCAAAAAAUUCUAAAUCAGAUUAUUAGUUUAAGGUAAAUACUACUCUUGGCCCCUCAUGAUUUAGAAAAGGUUAAAAGAGAAGAUAAUGCAUCUAUUAUAACAGUUCUUUGUAGAACAAACUUUAAAUUUAAAUUUAAAAUUAUUAAUAUAAGACCAAAUAUGUAUUUUCCGUCAUAAAUGUGAAUGCGACAAUAAAGUUGUAAAGAACGAUCUUGUGCUUUAAAGAUCAAUUACAACUAAAUAGGAGGGAAAAUAGGAGGAGAGAAGUUGCAGAAAAAAGAAGAUCGUGAAAGUUCAAAAAGAAAAAAUAUCUUCAAAAAGUUAAAAAGAAAAAUGAGAUACAAGGUAUGAAAGAAGCGUCGCCAACAGCCGGAGAGUAGCGUUUCUACCCUAUUUCACCCUUGUUGUCGCUUUGCCUCACCCACCCACCGCCUACAAGUAAGCAUUCUUCUUCUCAGUUUUGUUGUUAUCUUCCGUUUGCUUUUGAGGCUUAAAAAGUAUAUAACUUCUAUAUAUAUUUGUUUAUAUUUCUUUUGUCAAUAACUUUGUUUCAUGAUUACAGUUAAGAGUUACUGUGAACUUUAGUACUUUUUCAUGAUGUGGCUGUCUUACAUUUAUUAUUUUUUUUAUCAUAAUGGUUUUUGUAGUUAAUGGUCAUAAAAUGCAUAGUACAACUCAAAUCAAUUGAUUUAGUCUGUUUUCUUAAAUAUAUUUAUAUACAAGUCUUUGGCUAAAUUGUCAAAACUUGAUUGUAUAAACAUUGAUAAACUUUUAUUAUAUUGAUCGAUUUAAUUGUCAUUUUGGUACAAAUCUUAUGCGACAUAAUUCCUUUUUAAUUAUUCUUGUGAGCAUUGCUAUUUNNNNNNNNNNNNNNNNNNNNNNNNNNNNNNNNNNNNNNNNNNNNNNUAUAUAUAUAUAUAUAUAUAUAUAUAUGUGUGUGUGUGUGUGUGUGUGUGUGUGUAUAGACACACUAUAGGAUUCGGCCCCCCUUCUUACGUUGCUCAUGUUUCGCCCCUGAUCAUCACUAUUUGAUUUCCAUCCCUCAAGAUGUGGUUGAGUAUUAAAAUACCUAUACAUGCCUUGUAGGGCUCUAACUGUGAAUAUUACCCAAAAAGUAUUAGAUACGGUGCUUUGAUCAAGAUUACUUCCUAAGUUUCCAAGUAGUUCUUGCAAUGUGGUAUUGUAGGGCAUGCAUUACAUAGAUACAUCAAACAAAUUUAAAAUAGCACAAAGCAUAGAUAUUAGAUAUUAGCUAAAUUAGAAAAAGGCAAUUAUUCAUAGAAAUUAGAUUAAGAAACAAAGAACAAAAUAACAGGUUUGAUUAGUACCAUUUGUAGCUCAAUUCAAGUUUAAUGAUAUCCACUUUAACUAAAUUCCUUCUAUGCUGCUUGAAGAGGCCUUCCCUAUAUUUUUUUAUUGAGAUAAACAUAAGCAAUCAGUUGUGAGAAGUAAAUCAUAUGUAUCUAAUUGAUACAUCAAAAAGAUAAACAUAAAAAUGAAAGUAAAUUACUUGUGUGUAUGAGAAGUAAAAUUCAGUCAUAGUUCAAGAACCAAAGUUCAUCCCACAUAUUCAAAAAGAAAAGCCACAAUCACAUACCAUUUAGGUUUCUUCACAAUGAAGAGUUAAACAUGUAGCUUCUCAGCCUAUUUGGUUACCGCCUCUGGUUCUAGCCAUCAUUCUUCUUCCUUCCUUAUCACUUUCACCAAACUCUAUGUCAACAUAAUCACUUUACGAACCCUGCAGGGGUAAAUACGAGCAUUCACUAUUUGUAGAUGUUCCUAGGGGAAUAUCAGGUAGAAUUAAAGCAAUUAAAGAAUGUUUAACUAUAAAAAAACUCAAACAAAGAUCCAAAAUAGAAUAACCUCUACAGGAGGGAGAAUGAUAAUUAAUGAAGCCAUAAUCGUGAACCUCUUUUUGAGCUGUAUUAGAACCUUCUUCAUCAAAACUGAAAGGAACGGGAAAAAAUAUAUAUACCCGAUUCAAAAUAUGAUGUAUAGGGGAAAUAAUCCUUAAAAUCAAACCCCCAACCGUACCUCGACUCGACAGAUCCGCCUUCAUAACUUUGAGGUAGCAUUGGAUGUCAGAUGGAACUCUUAGUUGAGGAGUAACGACGGGGACGCAGUGAUGGUGGUGGGUUUAGCAGACGACGGAGAAGCUAGGGUUUCAACGAUUAGAGGAGAUAUGAGGAGAAACAAAGAAUCCUAAUUGAUUAGGAAUAUAGUUGCAGAAGCGAAAGAAUCCUAAUGGGAAGAUGAGUGCAAAAUAGAAGGUGGGACUAGGAGGUUAAAGGAGGAUUGUUGCUAAAGAGGAAGAGAGAAGGUAAUAAUUUAUGGAAAACGCAAGAAAUCAGCCCGCGUGAUCAGCCCGCGUAAUGACUAG